AAAAGUAAUUAUGUGGUUUUAUACUUUCUCCUAUCCGAUAAAAACAAAUAGCAAAUUGUGCAAUCACAUGAUUAAAGGCAUUUGUUUGUUUUUUUUAUUUUGUUUCUAUAUGUUCCAUUAUCAUUUUGUCCAUCUCCUCAUUUCUCCAUAUCCCUAUAUCUCUCUACAAACUGAAAAAAAAAAAAGUAACCUCAAAUAAAAAAAGAUUACUAUGGAUCCACCUGCUUCACAGACUAUAGAGAGGAAUUACCAGGCAGGAGAAGAUGAACAAGACAAAGUUAUUAAUGAAUGUUGUUCUUGCUGCUUUGAUUGCUCAGAAAGCUGCCUUGAUGACCUCUGCUGUUGCAGUCUUUGUUGAGAUAAUUAUAAUAGUAUACUAUGUUAAAAAAGGUUUAUUAUUAUUACUAUGGAAUGAUAAUUCAUUGAAAUUUAGUUAAAGAAACAAUUCAUUUUCUGUUUUA